rnacentral:rRNA from 1 species
GAUGAACGCUGGCGGCGUGCCUAAUACAUGCAAGUCGAGCGAACGGACGAGAAGCUUGCGUCUUUGAUGUUAGCGGCGGACGGGUGAGUAACACGUGGAUAACCUACCUAUCAGUCUGGGAUAACUUCGGGAAAGCGGAGCUUAUACCGGAGAAUAUUUUGAACCGCGGGGGUGAAAAGUGAAAGACGGUCUUGCGGUCACUACUAGCUGCAUCUGCGCUGCAUUAGCUAGUUGGUAAGGUAAAGGGUUAUCAAGGGAACGAUGCAUAGCCGAGCUGUGAGGGUGAUAGGCCACACUGGAGGGUGGACGGCGUCCAUGGUCCUACGAGACGCAGCAGUAUGGAACGGUCGGCAGCGGGCGGAAGCCUGGCGGAGUGGCGGCGCGUGAGUUGUGGAGGUCCUCGGAGCGUAAAACUCGGUUAUGAGUGAAAAACAGCUGUGGCAGUAACUGAGCACAUCUUGACGGUACCGAAUCAGAAAGCAACGGCUAACUACGUG